rnacentral:rRNA from 1 species
CGGGACGGGUGAGUAAUGUCUGGGAAACUGCCUGAUGGAGGGGGAUAACUACUGGAAACGGUAGCUAAUACCGCAUAACGUCGCAAGACCAAAGGAGGGGGACCUUAGGGCCUCUUGCCAUCGGAUGUGCCCAGAUGGGAUUAGCUAGUAGGUGGGGUAACGGCUCACCUAGGCGACGAUCCCUAGCUGGUCUGAGAGGAUGACCAGCCACACUGGAACUGAGACACGGUCCAG